rnacentral:rRNA from 1 species
UACAGAGGUCUCAAGCGUUGUUCGGAUUUACUGGGCGUAAAGAGCGCGCAGGCGGUCGUCCAAGUCGCGUGUGAAAGCCCCCCGGCUCAACUGGGGAGGGUCACGCGAUACUGGUCGACUCGAAGGCAGGAGAGGGUAGUGGAAUUCCCGGUGUAGUGGUGAAAUGCGUAGAUAUCGGGAGGAACACCAGUGGCGAAGGCGACUACCUGGCCUGUUCUUGACGCUGAGGCGCGAAAGCUAGGGGAGCAAACGGG